rnacentral:rRNA from 1 species
GACGAACGCUGGCGGCAUGCCUAACACAUGCAAGUCGAGCGAGUUGAUUUCUUCGGAAUGAAGCUAGCGGCGGACGGGUGAGUAACACGUGGGCAACCUGCCUCAUAGAGGGGAAUAGCCUUCCGAAAGGAAGAUUAAUACCGCAUAAGAUUGUAGUACCGCAUGGUAUAGCAAUUAAAGGAGUAAUCCGCUAUGAGAUGGGCCCGCGGCUCAUUAGCUAGUUGGUGAGGUAACGGCUCACCAAGGCGACGAUGCGUAGCCGACCUGAGAGGGUGAUCGGCCACAUUGGGACUGAGACACGGCCCAGACUCCUACGGGAGGCAGCAGUGGGGAAUAUUGCACAAUGGGGGAAACCCUGAUGCAGCAAUGCCGCGUGAGUGAUGAUGGCCUUCGGGUUGUAAAGCUCUGUCUUCGGGGACGAUAAUGACGGUACCCGAGGAGGAAGCCACGGCUAACUACGUGCCAGCAGCCGCGGUAA